GACGAACGCUGGCGGCGUGCUUAACACAUGCAAGUCGAACGGGCCUGUCUUCUUUUUUGGGGGGUGGGUUGAGUGGCGAACGGGUGAGUAUCACGUGAGUAACCUGCCCUUCGGUCCUGGAUAACCGCUUGAAAGGGCGGCUAAUACGGGGUGGUCCGGUUGGUCCGCAUGGGCUGGUCGGGAUAGAUUCACUGUUUUUGGUGUUUCGGCGGGGGAUGGGCUCGCGGCCUAUCAGCUUGUUGGUGGGGUGAUGGCCUACCAAGGCGGGGACGGGUAGCCGGCCUGAGGGGGUGGGCGGCCACACUGGGACUGAGAUACGGCCCAGACUCCUGCGGGAGGCAGCAGUGGGGGGUAUUGCACAAUGGGCGGAAGCCUGAUGCAGCGACGUCGCGUGAGGGAGGGAGGCCUUCGGGUUGUGAACCUCUGUUUCCGGUGGUGAAGGCCCUGUCCGUGUGGUGGGGUUGACGGUAGCCGGGGAUGAAGCGCCGGCUAACUACGUG
rnacentral:rRNA from 1 species